UGUUAUUCUUGUUAAUAUACAUUUGGUGAUGGACAUUCAACGUUGGGUAUUCAUUACUCAUGCUGCAGUGUGGGGAUCAAUAAUUAUCACUUGUGCUUGUAUGGUGGUAUUGGAUUCUAUACCUAUCUUACCAAAUUACUGGACAAUCUACCAUGUGGCAAAGUCACCCACCUAUUGGCUCACCAUUUUGCUUAUAAUAAUUGUGGCUUUACUCCUCGCUUUCUUCGCAAAGUUAUACAUCAGAAUUUUUGGCAUUCAGAUAUUCAAAUAGCCAGAGAAGCAAAGAUUCUAAGAAAAGUGACUCCUAAUUUGAGGGACAGAUGAAGAUUCCAGUUAACAUGUACAUUACACCCUGUUUUGAAAUGGUUACUCAAGUCUAUCCGUCAUAUGACUGUCCUGUGGCAUGCAAUUGUAAUUUAUGGUAAGCACAUACUCCAA